UACGGAGGAGGCAAGCGUUAUCCGGAAUUAUUGGGCGUAAAGCGUCCGCAGGUGGCACUUCAAGUCUGUCGUCAAAGACUGGGGCUUAACCCUGGAAAGGCGGUGGAAACUGAAGCGCUAGAGUGCGGUAGGGGUAGAGGGAAUUCCCGGUGUAGCGUUGAAAUGCGUAGAGAUCGGGAAGAACAUCGGUGGCGAAAGCGCUCUACUGGACCGCAACUGACACUCAGGGACGAAAGCUAGGGGAGCGAAUGGG
rnacentral:rRNA from 1 species